ACCUUAAAUUUUGUUACGAGAGUCUUUUAAAAGUUCCAAUUGUCUUCAAUUUUUUUUUUUUGGUCUGUCUCAUAUGCCAGGACUGGAAACAUUGAUAUAAAGUCAUUUUAAAAAUAAAACCUACUUUUUUGAUUACUAGCUGGAAAUACUUAAGAACUAGUCAAGGUGAGACCAAAAUGUCAAGGCAAGCGAACCAAGGAGACGGCCCAGAAGGCAAAGCAUAGUGAUAUGAUAUCUUUCUCUUUGGCUUUGCUAACAGAGUGUGGGCGGCCCCUUCACUUCUAUGGCCUGGAACAACAGGAGGAACUUGGAACGAAGCUCAGGUCAUCGAUGUGAUGGAGUAUUCUUAGUGUGCGGUGAUGGAGUAUAGUAAACAAUCUAGCAGGGUCCUUACCUCCAUAACAAAUUUGGAGUGUCUGUGGAUUGAUAGCUGACUGAGAGUGUUCACAUAAGGCAAGAACUGGCAGCUCUACUCUCAUUCAUAUAGGCCUGUCUGCGCUCUCAAACACAAGUGCUUAAGAGAAAUUUCUCCACCAGGAAAUUAGAAACACAGAAAUUUCCUAUUAGCAGUCACUCAAGGCUCCGCCCAACAGUUACCUAGCAACAGUCAGGCGGGAGCCUGGCUCAGGUUUAAGAUCCCUCCCUCCCUCUCUGGACCUCUCUCUGUCUGUGUCCUGUCUCUCUCUUACUCCCCUGUCCUCCCCUCAUGUGGUCUAGGUCGGCCUCUUCCCUUCUUUCUCUUUUCUCUUUCUGUCCUCUUGUCCCAUUUCUUUCUCUGCAUCUACUCCCUUCCCCAGACCUCCUUCCCAGGUCCCAGAUAAACUUUCUUUUAUACUAGACCUGUGUAUGGUUGAUGCCUAGGGAGGAUGUCUCAGCAUGGGCCGGCUAAGGCAUCCCCUCCCGCUGCAUCAUACCGAAUUUUAUAAAACACAUCACUUCCGGCCUGGAUUAUCUGAAAACCAUCAUCCUGAGUUAGGAUGUCUUGUAAUUUCUUUCACUUUUGAUCAAGCAAAUACAGUUCUCUUCUGGGAGCUCCCCCUCCCUGCCUCCUUCCCAGGGGACCAUGGGGGCAACCUGGUGAGGUAUCUCUAAGAGCUGAGGCUCAGCUAUGGGGUUUAGAUGAAAAGGUUACUGCAUACCUAACUGGAGUUGUGGGAGUUGACGAGUGAGAAACGGAAUGAGAAGAGGGAAUAAAUUAAAGUCUUUAGACUAGGAAGUCGAGGUGUCCUACGCGUUAAAAUCUAGAUUAACAACGAGCAAUGCCAUCUGUGUUCAUUGUGGUGAUACUGUCUCAGGAACAAGUUCCACCUCACUGGCGGGAUCAAGACUGAGCCCAUGCUCCCAGGCCCCGGAACCCAGCUCCUGUCCUUCUCCAGAUGUUCCAUGUUUGUCGCUGAGCAGUAAAGGAUGUGAGGAGGGAAGAUGCUGUUCUCCAGUUACCUACACAACGUCAUAAAUGUGUUAACGGUCUUGACGUAAUGGACUCCGUACAGCUUGCCACGCCUUUGUUCCCUUCUCAUUCUAAAAUUCCAGGCCAGAGUCCAGGAGGGGACCAGGCUGUAAAAGGUGACCCAAAGACCCUGAAACCAGGGACUUCAGAUCCUGUUUCCACCCCGGACCCAACAAUACAGCAAGAAAAUCCAACACAAAGGGAACAGUAUUGAGAUGGAAAAAGAACUAUCUUAUUAAAAACAAUGAACUUUGUAUCAGCAUCAAGAGAACAUGAGAAGACGAUGAUAAUUCUGAGGAAAAAUAGUGCGACCCUAAGGUUAUCUGUCCUAAGAUGCUCUCAUUUUAAAAGCCAUUUAAAGUCUUGUUUUAAUAUGAAAAGUAUUUUUUCUAAUUUAUGUUUUUUUUUUACAAUAGACCUCGAUAUAGAAAAUUUCAGAUUUGAGAUUUUAAUGGUGAAUGGAAAUGAUAUUUGCAGUUAGUUUGGGAUAGAACGAAGAAUGACCACAGAUUAUGUUGGUAUUUGGGUACAUACUUAAAAAUCCUUGACUGUCUAGAACAUACUGUACCAUAGACUUAAAUACAAGGCUGUGUAACAUAUAAAAUGUGUGAUUAGAAUGAAA